UACGUAGGGUCCAAGCGUUAAUCGGAAUUACUGGGCGUAAAGCGUGCGCAGGCGGUUCUGAAAGUCAGCUGUGAAAGCCCCGGGCUUAACCUGGGAAUUGCGGUUGAAACUACAGGGCUAGAAUCUGGCAGAGGGGGGUGAAAUUCCACGUGUAGCAGUGAAAUGCGUAGAGAUGUGGAGGAACACCGAUGGCGAAGGCAGCCCCCUGGGCUGAGAUUGACGCUCAGGCACGAAAGCGUGGGGAGCAAACAGG
rnacentral:rRNA from 1 species